rnacentral:rRNA from 1 species
UAUCCAGACUCCUACGGGAGGCAGCAGUCGGGAAUAUUGCACAAUGGAGGAAACUCUGAUGCAGUGACACCGCGUAUAGGAAGAAGGUUUUCGGAUUGUAAACUAUUUUAGACAGGGAAGAAAAAAGACAGUACCUGUAGAAUAAGCUCCGGCUAACUACGUGCCAGCAGCCGCGGUAAUACGUAGGGGGCGAGCGUUAUCCGGAUUUACUGGGUGUAAAGGGAGCGUAGACGGUUCUGCAAGUCUGAAGUGAAAGCCCGUGGCUUAACCGCGGAACGGCUUUGGAAACUGUGGAACUGGAGUGCUGGAGAGGCAAGCGGAAUUCCUAGUGUAGCGGUGAAAUGCGUAGAUAUUAGGAGGAACACCAGUGGCGAAGGCGGCUUGCUGGACAGUAACUGACGUUGAGGCUCGAAAGCGUGGGGAGCAAACAGGAUUAGAUACCCCCGUAGAC